CCACAGAAGUGCAGGGUUUUACUUGGUUGCAUCUGGUAUUUUCUAAGAUGACUCAAUCAAGACAAAGGAAUACCUGAUGUUUCAAGGGUUAUAGCCAGGGGAGUGCUUAUCUGUGACCUCAGGCAGCUGGCACUGAUGUCUCUUGGUACAGGAAUUUCACAUCUAACCAUUUAGUGGCUUUGGAUAUGCAUUCCCCAGUGUCUCUGCAAUGAAGUUAAGACAGCUGUGUGCAGCUUUCUGAGGAAGCUGCAGCAUGUGCUGGAAUGUGGGAUGUUCCCUCUGUGCUGAGGAGUCUGCUCAUGUGGGUGAUGGCUGGCAGGAGCAGGGCUGGGUUUCUCCAGGGCCACUGGGAGUUCUGGCCAUGCUGAGGUGUGUCCCAGACACAACCUGUAACCUUGAAAGCUAAUGGAGAGAGCUGAAGCAGCUUGGAAAGGGUCCAAAAGGAUCCAAGUAUUAAAAAAAAGUAUGAAAGUCCAAAUAAGGAUAUUAUAGCACUGCAUAUAUAGCUAAUGCCCUUUAAAACAGAAAUCUCAGGCAUUGCUUUCAGAAAUAGAAAGAUUGUAAAAUGAAAAUGCCAGCAGAAAUCUGAGCAUUCCCUGGGGAGAGUGAGAUAAUUGGUGUGAUAAAUGAAAAAGCCAUUGGAAUAAAUUCAAAGAGAAAUGAAGGAUUUUGGUGCUUCUCUCCAUGUUCUGUUGGGUGGGUUGAAGUCUCUGCUGUGGGCUCUGGUGAGUCCCAGACAAUCCCAAACUGGCUGAUGCUCACUUGAACCCUUCAGUGAGGGUUUCACCAUCUGACCAUGUUAACAGCAGCUUUACAGCUGUGCUGGGAUUGUCUGGAUGGCCACACUAGACCAGCAGCAUUCCUUGGAAAAGCCAUUGCAGCCUUUGCCAAGAAGCUGAGCAUCACAGAUGCCUUUAGAAGCUCCCUGGACUAAUGAUAAAAAAGACUGUGGUGCCAUCUAUGGUCAAGUGAGGAGACUGGCUCUGAGCCAGCCCUGCUGCUGUGCUGACACUCGCACAUUGGGCUUUGCCUCACAUGUGCAGGAUUUCUGUAGAUUUAGGUCAGGAAAUAUGUCAGAAUUCUGAGUAUUGGAGGGUUUUGAGGCAGUUAUGUGCUUUAACCACAUGCUGGAUUGGCAUUUGGAAGUCUAGAUCUCCCUUUGUGCACUUAGCAGCUAGUUAAGUGAGCCAACAUGUAUGUUUUUAUUCUUCUGGGUCAUGCUGGCCCUGUCUAGAAAAUUGAGAUAAUUUUCAGUGAAAUAGAAUAUUCUGAAAUCUGCUGACACUGCAGGAAAACUGGGUGAUGGUAUUUGUGGUAAACCAAUUGGGAGUAAACCCAUGAGGAAUGAAGUCUGACUUUCCACUUUAAGAAUGGCUUAGACCUGAUCAGAUGGACUUCUGUAAUCUCCUAAUGUAAAACAUCAUGAUUUAUCCAAUCAUAUGGAAACAAAUACAAGAGCAACUUCACAGGGGACAAAGCAGUGUGAGCUGUGCUCCUGUGACACCUCAUGGCUGGAGGUGCUGACCUGGGCAGAGACUGCUUGGUUUGUGUGCAGGGUGGUGAGCACAUGUGAGCAAUGCUUCCCUAAACCCUGCUCUUGUUCUCCACCAGAGCUCUCCCAGGGAUCCCCCCAGACGGUACGAAGGGACUUUGGCCUGGCUGUGACCCACAGGUUCUCUACCAAGUCCUGGUUAUCCCAGAUUUGCCAAGUGUGCCAGAAGAGCAUGAUGUUCGGGGUGAAGUGUAAGUACUGCAGAUUAAAAUGUCACAACAAAUGUACUAAAGAGGCACCUGCUUGUAGACUAUCCUUCCUUCCCAUAACAAAAAUAAGAAGAACAGAGUCUGUCCCGUCUGAUAUCAAUAAUCCAGUGGACAGACCCACAGAACCCCAGUUUGGAACUCUCCCCAAAGCACUAACUAAAAAGGAGCAUCCACCAGCAAUAAACCACCUGGACUCCAGCAGUAAUCCUUCUUCUACAACCUCAUCCACCCCAUCUUCCCCAGCACCUUUCCAGUCUUCCAACCCUCCCAGUGCGACGCCGCCCCCAAACCCAUCCCCCAUGGGCCAGAGGGACGGGAGGUUCAACUUCCCAGCUGCCUACUACCUUCAGCAUAGACAACAGUUUAUCUUCCCAGAAAUUCCCAGUCCUGCACAAACAGCACAGCUUCCAGAAACUGCUGCAGACACUAAUGCUGCCCAGCAGCCGGGCACGGGCGGAGGCGUGCGGGAAGCACAGGUGGAGGAACCAGAGGCGAGCAAGUCGGAGGCCGAGGAUGAUGAGGAUGAGGUGGAAGAUCUGCCCAACCGGCGGCCGCACCUGCAGGGGAUGAUCUACCGCAAACCCAGCCAGACCAGCGUGUACCUGCAGGAGUGGGACAUCCCCUUCGAGCAGAUCCAGCUGGGGGACCCCAUCGGCCAGGGCCGCUGGGGCAAGGUCUACAAGGGCAAGUGGCACGGGGAGGUGGCCAUCAGGCUGCUGGAGAUCGAUGGCAACAACCAGGAUCAUCUCAAGCUCUUCAAGAAGGAGGUGAUGAACUACAGGCAGACCCGGCAUGAGAACGUGGUGCUGUUCAUGGGGGCCUGCAUGAACCCCCCUCACUUAGCAAUCAUUACCAGCUUCUGCAAAGGAAGGACGCUGCACUCCUUUGUGAGGGACCCCAAGAUCUCCCUGGACAUCAACAAAACCAGGCAGAUAGCACAGGAGAUCAUUAAGGGCAUGGGGUAUCUCCACGCAAAGGGGAUUGUACAUAAGGAUCUGAAAUCCAAAAAUGUCUUCUAUGACAAUGGGAAAGUUGUCAUCACCGACUUUGGAUUAUUUGGAAUUUCGGGUGUGGUUCAGGAAGGAAGGAGGGAGAAUGAACUGAAGCUGCCUCAUGAUUGGUUGUGCUACCUGGCCCCUGAGAUUGUCCGUGAGAUGGCCCCAGGGAAAGACGAAGACAAGCUGCCUUUCUCCAAAGCUGCAGAUAUCUAUGCCUUUGGGACCGUGUGGUACGAGCUGCAGGCACGGGAGUGGCCGUUCAAGAGCCAGCCUGCAGAGGCCCUCAUCUGGCAGAUCGGCAGCGGCGAGGGAGUGAGACAGGUCCUUGCCACUGUCAGCCUGGGCAAAGAGGUCAAUGAAAUCCUCUCUGCCUGCUGGGCCUUCGAUGUCAGCGAGAGGCCGAGCUUCACUGUCCUCAUGGAAAUGCUUGAAAAGCUGCCAAAACUCAACCGCCGGCUCUCGCACCCAGGGCACUUCUGGAAGUCUGCUGAGUUGUAGCUACUGGUGCAAUAACGGGCUCCACCUUGCAUGCUUCCAUGUGUCGUAUCCUAACCGGCAACUUGGACAAUCACCUUCCAUUAAAAAAGCAAAAACAAACCACGAAAUUAACCCAUGGACAUAAUCAACACUUUAUCCGAGUUCUUCUCUCUGCCUUUUGCUUGGUGUGGGCUGUAGCUUCAAUAACCACUCCUGUCUGCGAGACCUUCCUGGCUAACACCGGCUCCUCUGCCCCGGAGGCUGCAGCAGCUGGGACCCCUCCUGGAGGGCACAGGGACCUGCUCUGACUGACCAGCAUUAACAGUAGCAAAGUUGUCCUGCGUUUUGAAAGAUUUGGCUUGGGAAUCCUGGAACCGA